rnacentral:rRNA from 1 species
GGAUUAGAUACCCUGGUAGUCCACGCCGUAAACGAUGUGCACUAGAUAUUGCGGGUAUUGACCCCUGCAGUGUCGCAGCUAACGCAUUAAGUGCACCGCCUGGGGAGUACGAGCGCAAGCUUAAAACUCAAAGGAAUUGACGGGGGCCCGCACAAGCGGUGGAUUAUGUGGUUUAAUUCGAAGCAACGCGCAGAACCUUACCUGGGCUUGAACUCCUGAGAAUCCUCCCCAAAAGGAGGAGUGCCCUUCGGGGAAUUCAGUGAGAGGCGCUGCAUGGCUGUCGUCAGCUCGUGCCG